UUGAACGCUGGCGGCAUGCUUUACACCUGCAAGUCGCACGGCAGCGCGGGCUUCGGCCUGGCGGCGAGUGGCGAACGGGUGAGUAAUGCAUCGGAACGUGCCCAGUAGUGGGGGAUAGCCCGGCGAAAGCCGGAUUAAUACCGCAUACAACCUGAGGGUGAAAGCGGGGGACCGAAAGGCCUCGCGCUAUUGGAGCGGCCGAUGUCGGAUUAGCUAGUUGGUGGGGUAAAGGCUUACCAAGGCGACGAUCCGUAGCUGGUCUGAGAGGACGACCAGCCACACUGGGACUGAGACACGGCCCAGACUCCUACGGGAGGCAGCAGUGGGGAAUUUUGGACAAUGGGGGCAACCCUGAUCCAGCCAUGCCGCGUGCGGGAAGAAGGCCUUCGGGUUGUAAACCGCUUUUGUUCGGGAAGAAAUCCUCUGGGCUAAUACCCCGGGGGGAUGACGGUACCGGAAGAAUAAGCACCGGCUAACUACGUG
rnacentral:rRNA from 1 species